UACGGGGGGAGCAAGCGUUGUUCGGAUUUACUGGGCGUAAAGGGCGCGUAGGCGGCCGAUCAAGUCAGAUGUGAAAGUCCUGGGCUUAACCUGGGGACUGCAUUUGAUACUGAUUGGCUUGAAUGCAGGAGAGGAUAGCGGAAUUCCCAGUGUAGAGGUGAAAUUCGUAGAUAUUGGGAAGAACACCGGUGGCGAAGGCGGCUAUCUGGACUGUGAUUGACGCUGAGGCGCGAAAGCGUGGGGAGCAAACAGG
rnacentral:rRNA from 1 species